AGUGAACGCUGGCGGUAGGCCUAACACAUGCAAGUCGAACGGCAGCACAGUAAGAUCAUGCUCUUAUGGGUGGCGAGUGGCGGACGGGUAAGGAAUACAUCGGAAUCUACUUUUUCGUGGGGGAUAACGUAGGGAAACUUACGCUAAUACCGCAUACGACCUACGGGUGAAAGCAGGGGAUCUUCGCACCUUGCGCGAUUGAAUGAGCCGAUGUCGGAUUAGCUAGUUGGCGGGGUAAAGGCCCACCAAGGCGACGAUCCGUAGCUGGUCUGAGAGGAUGAUCAGCCACACUGGAACUGAGACACGGUCCAGACUCCUACGGGAGGCAGCAGUGGGGAAUAUUGGACAAUGGGCGCAAGCCUGAUCCAGCCAUACCGCGUGGGUGAAGAAGGCCUUCGGGUUGUAAAGCCCUUUUGUUGGGAAAGAAAAGCAGCAGGUUAAUACCCCGCUGUUCUGACGGUACCCAAAGAAUAAGCACCGGCUAACUUCGUG
rnacentral:rRNA from 1 species